UUCAAUUUUUGAAGUUUCUCUAGCUUUUUUGUUGGGUGAAAUCAGUAUAAGAAGCUCUUUCUUCUUUAAAAAUUAGUAGGAACUAAAAAACUUUGAUUUAAAACCAGGAUUAGAUACCCUGUUAUUCUCAGUUAUUCUUAAACAGGGUAGUAAAAGUUGUUCUUCAAACCCAAAGAUUUUGGCGGCACUUUAUCCAAAUAGAGGAGCUUGUCCCUUAAUCGAUAGUCCUCGUUUUAUCUUUCCUUCAUUUGUAAAGCUUGUAUACCGCCGUUGUCAGAUUACUUUUAGAGAAUGUUUUCAAGUUAAAAGACUUUGUAACUUCAGGUCAAGGUGCAGUUUAUAUGGGGGUGGAGGUGAGCUACAGUUUUCUUUAGAAAAUACGGAUUCUAAGCUUUGAAGCUAGCUGAAGGUGGAUUUACUAGUAAAGUAAUUUAAGUAAA
rnacentral:rRNA from 1 species